AAAUGUACGAAGUUAGAUCUAUGUUGAGAACAUUAGAUAGAUCUACGAUUACUUUCAGAAAUCUUAAAUGUAAUAUGCAUAUAUUAUAGAUACAAAGUCUUUGAAGAAGCUAGUUAACUGUUCAAUCGUAUUAAAAUUUUAGUUUUAAUAGGUUAACUAAUGGUUUGAGACAAAGUUUCAAUACUUUUAAGACACACUGUAUAUUUUACAGCACAUAGCAUGUUGUCUGCUCUGCAGCUCGACACCGUGCAACAAAGCUAAUGAAAUGACUUUGGUAAUACCCUAACACAACGGUAAGCAUAACUAAAGGCCAAAAGCGCAACAAGUGUACGGCUUUUAUUGAAAAAAAAAAGAAAAAGAUACAAAAAAUAUGAAAAUAAUAAAAAAGAGGAAAAUAAACACAAGUGGAUAAGGACAAGAAGAAAUAGCAACAAGUUAAAAACAAUGUGAGAUAAGUUAAAAUCAUACACAACAACACAUCGCCGGUGCAAGUGACUGAGUAAAUUACCGCUUGAGUAGUGUAUCUGUACGUUUAUAGCUUUUGCGAGUGUGUAUGUGUCUGUGUAAAGCAAUAACUGCUAAAUGGCGAUUUUUAUGGUGAUUGCGAAAAAUUGAAUAACAAAACAGCACAGUAAUGCAUGAAAUGAAAUGAACAAAAAUAGAGAAAAGCCAUGGCUUUAACGAUAAAAGGCAGUCACAUAUAGCUGUAAGCAGAUAAAUGUACUGAAAAAAGAGCGCGCAAUGAUAAACAAAAAAUAAACACCGUUGGCUGUUGGCUGUAACGACACAAGUGCAUUUCUGCAUGUGUUUAUGUGAGUGUGACAGAGUCCAGAGUUGCAUGCGCAGCGUGGAAUGUGCGACCGUUCAACGGUGAGGUGUCAGCAUAGCUGCAUUUGCGUUGCAUUCCCAUUGCACAUAAAAAAUAUUCACAAGCCAGCAGUGAAACACGCGGUUGUUUGUUUGUUGUUUUUAUUAUUAUUAUUAAGCAUGAUAUUAUAUCGGCUGUUAUCGCGACUUAAGCUUAAGAAAUAACUCACUCACAGCUGCAUAACUACAGCUACAGCUAGGUGUGUGUGGAACGCUUAAGUGGAUGAAGGCGACGAGGCAGUGCGAAAAGUGCCAUUGCAAUUGCAAAGAAAGUCACUUGAACCUGUUCGCCACGCAACCCACACAUAUCGCUUGUAGAUCGCCAAUCAUUCACUCAAUGCAUUUGGUGCGAUUUUAGCCAGUCAAAACUGCCGUUAACUAGUGAAAUAUUCCACGGCGCUUUACAUUCCUGAAAUUUGGAAUUCACUGGGCCUACGUGCAUGUCUCAUAUCAGCAGGUUCUUGACAGACAGCUGGUGGCUGGCAUUUUCGAAAGCUUUGUGGGAAAACUGGAGUAUGGUUUUCUUUAUUUUUUACUAUAAAUAGUUUUGAAGUGUGGCAAGUACUUGGACAAAUGUGCGACCAGUUACGUUACCGUUAUGCGCAUAGUAUCCAAAAGCGAACCUAAAGCGAUGAGGGACCUCGGCCUUAUUCCAGUCAAUAUAUAUGUACGUAAAGAAAACUUUGUAAAUAUAGCUAGUCAAUUGUUCGAGAAAUAAAAAAUUGGUCGGAUUAGACCAAAAAAGCUCUCAUAAAAGCUUAAUGUCGAAAAAAGGAAACUUGGCGUUCCCGCUUUCAGCAGCAG